GAUGAACGCUAGCGGCAGGCUUAAUACAUGCAAGUCGAGGGGCAGCAUGACUGUAGCAAUACAGUUGAUGGCGACCGGCAAACGGGUGCGGAACACGUACAGAACCUUCCUUCGAGCGGGGAAUAGCCCAGAGAAAUUUGGAUUAAUACCCCAUAGUACAACGGAGUGGCAUCACUUUGUUGUUAAAGAUUUAUCACUUGAAGAUGGCUGUGCGGCUGAUUAGGUAGUUGGCGGGGUAACGGCCCACCAAGCCUGCGAUCAGUAACUGGUGUGAGGGCACGACCAGUCACACGGGCACUGAGACACGGGCCCGACUCCUACGGGAGGCAGCAGUAAGGAAUAUUGGUCAAUGGACGAAAGUCUGAACCAGCCAUGCCGCGUGGAGGAUGAAGGUCCUCUGGAUUGUAAACUUCUUUUAUAUGGGACGAAAAAAGGGUUUUCUAACUCGUCUGACGGUACCAUAUGAAUAAGCACCGGCUAACUCCGUGCCAGCCGCCGCCGUAAAAC
rnacentral:rRNA from 1 species